GUCAAAUUUUGAUACAAUAAGGCUAAAUCAUUGAAAAUAAGGAAUUUUCAUCAAACCUUAUCACUUUGCACGACCAUUAUUCUGAAAAACAGAGAGAAAAGAAAACCAAAAACCAUUUCUUGGCUGGUUUGAAGAAAUUCUAAGGAGAUCCAAGUGAAAGCAAAGCCAAAGAAGUAGAUUAAGCUUAGUUCUAGCCUUUUUAUGAUAUUUCUUGGGGUUUCCAAGUGGUUUGAGGUUUAGAAAAGCUUGAAGAGAUUGUCUUCGCCGAAAAGUUGCUCGGAUAAGCACAUCAAUACCUAAGACACCACUUGUUACACGGUGAACUAUAUUUUGGACAAAAGGUAGAGAAAGAAAUAUGUGAAUGAUAUGAGGAGAACUGAAGCAUGGUCUUGACCCUGAUUUGUACAUAUGAACACAUCGACCUUUUUGUGGGUUAUUUUAGUUAUCAGUGAGAUGUUUGUAAUAAAGUGUGAAGUUAUGUUUUGAAAAUAAAUUGGGUUAUUUAAUACUUAUGUAUAAUAUGUUUGAGACACACUUUAUGUUUAAUGUAAAUAAUGUGAAAUAAGUUUUCAAGUUUUAAAAAAAAGAAAAAAAAAUGUCCAGACUUCCGCAGAAAUAAAUUAUGAUAUAGUUUUAAAACGUAACACCUCAAAUAUGG